rnacentral:rRNA from 1 species
UACGUAGGGUGCAAGCGUUGUCCGGAAUUAUUGGGCGUAAAGAGCUCGUAGGCGGUUUGUCGCGUCUGCUGUGAAAACUCGGGGCUUAACCCCGGGCCUGCAGUGGGUACGGGCAGACUAGAGUGCGGUAGGGGAGACUGGAAUUCCUGGUGUAGCGGUGAAAUGCGCAGAUAUCGGGAGGAACAUCAGUGGCGAAGGCGGCUGCCUGGCCCAAUACUGACACUCAGGUGCGACAGCGUGGGGAGCAAACAGG